GAAACGCAACGGCUAGCGCUUUGGACUUCUAAUCCAAAGGUAGUGGGUUCGAAUCCCGCCUGAAAUG